rnacentral:rRNA from 1 species
GAGUUUGAUCUUGGCUCAGGAUGAACGCUGGCGGCGUGCCUAACACAUGCAAGUCGAACGCUCGCAAGAGAGUGGCGCACGGGUGAGUAACACGUAGCUUAUCUGCCCUCAAGACAGGGAUAACAAUAGGAAACUAUUGCUAAUACCUGAUAAGCUUACGAGCUAUAGAGGCUCAUAAGAAAAGAUUUAUCGCUUGAGGAUGAGGCUGCGAGCCAUCAGCUAGUUGGUGAGGUAAAGGCUCACCAAGGCGACGACGGCUA